GUACGUGGAGGGCAAGCGUUGCUCGGAAUUACUGGGCGUAAAGGGCGCGUAGGCGGCACUGUUAGUCAGGCGUGAAAUUCCUGGGCUCAACCUGGGGACUGCGCUUGAUACGGCAGAGCUUGAGGAUGGAAGAGGGUCGCGGAAUUCCCAGUGUAGAGGUGAAAUUCGUAGAUAUUGGGAAGAACACCGGUGGCGAAGGCGGCGACCUGGUCCAUUACUGACGCUGAGGCGCGACAGCGUGGGGAGCAAACAGG
rnacentral:rRNA from 1 species